ensembl:lncRNA
GUUUAAUAUUGUCUAACGGUGGUUAGAAUCCCAAACAUUUACGCAGCUUUUACGCGAUUUACCGGAUCUGGAGCAACAUGAGGGUGGUUCACAGGAGCAAAAAUCGGGCAGUCAGUCGCCAUCGGCCUUUUUACGUUCCGACAUACAGCCACGAAUGAUAAAGGAUUCGUUAUGGACAUCUGACACUGGGGACUUGGAUGCAAUUCUACCGUUCUGUACGAGCGAUUUUUCAAACUCCCCUCGAAUACAGGGAACUUCGACUCCCUCCCGACAUAUUCCAGACCCCAACAGGCAACGAACAACUGUGGCCCAAGUACAUUGCUCAGAUUCAACACCAACCGAAAAAUACUGUUGGGCCGGGAACUUGCGGCUUUACGAUCCGGCGCUCCAGGGACACGACUGCCCGGAGACAGCCCCUGCAGAAUCUGGAAUGCUAGAGGAAAAAAGUCUAGAGCCCUCAGGAUCCUCAAUUCGUCAGAACAAGCGCCAAAAAAGCCGAGACUCCGCCCCGGCGAAAAACGGCACAGACGGCCACAUACAUCUAGAGCUGGGGGAUUCCGGCGCCCCGAACAUUCCCGAGGAAACACCCGAGAGACCUGUUUUUAAUGACAUGUCAGAUGUUGACGACCAGCUAUUCUGUGAUGCGGCCAACCUUAUCGACCCAGACAAUUCUACGGCCUCAGUACCUGCAGCCGAACAAGAAAGGUUUUUCACAUUAUUUUCCAGGGCUUUGAAAUCGAGGAAUGUUUUGCUAUACAAACGACUGGGGGAUUU